CUCUGGCCUGAAAUCAGGUAGGACUACCCGCUGAACUUAAGCAUAUCAAUAAGCGGAGG
rnacentral:rRNA from 1 species